AUGACUCUCGGCAACGGAUAUCUCGGCUCUCGCAUCGAUGAAGAACGUAGCGAAAUGCGAUACUUGGUGUGAAUUGCAGAAUCCCGUGAACCAUCGAGUCUUUGAACGCAAGUUGCGCCCGAAGCCUUUUGGCCGAGGGCACGUUUGSCUGGGCGUC
rnacentral:rRNA from 1 species